rnacentral:rRNA from 1 species
GCAGCAGCCGCGGGAAUACAGAGGGUGCGAGCGUUAAUCGGAUUUACUGGGCGUAAAGCGUGCGUAGGCGGCUAAUUGAGUCGGAUGUGAAAUCCCCGAGCUUAACUUGGGAAUUGCAUUCGAUACUGGUUAGCUAGAGUGUGGGAGAGGAUGGUAGAAUUCCAGGUGUAGCGGUGAAAUGCGUAGAGAUCUGGAGGAAUACCGAUGGCGAAGGCAGCCAUCUGGCCUAACACUGACGCUGAGGUACGAAAGCAUGGGGAGCAAACAGGAUUAGAUACCCCUGUAGUCCCUGUCUCUUAUAC